rnacentral:rRNA from 1 species
GACGAACGCUGGCGGCGUGCUUAACACAUGCAAGUCGAACGGAAGGCCCUGCUUUUGUGGGGUGCUCGAGUGGCGAACGGGUGAGUAACACGUGAGUAACCUGCCCUUGACUUUGGGAUAACUUCAGGAAACUGGGGCUAAUACCGGAUAGGAGCUCCUGCUGCAUGGUGGGGGUUGGAAAGUUUCGGCGGUUGGGGAUGGACUCGCGGCUUAUCAGCUUGUUGGUGGGGUAGUGGCUUACCAAGGCUUUGACGGGUAGCCAGCCUGAGAGGGUGACCGGCCACAUUGGGACUGAGAUACGGCCCAGACUCCUACGGGAGGCAGCAGUGGGGAAUAUUGCACAAUGGGCGGAAGCCUGAUGCAGCAACGCCGCGUGCGGGAUGACGGCCUUCGGGUUGUAAACCGCUUUCGCCUGUGACGAAGCGUGAGUGACGGUAAUGGGUAAAGAAGCACCGGCUAACUACGUG